rnacentral:lncRNA from 1 species
UGUCGAAGAUCACUCGAUUGUUUCAAGGUAUUUUUAGUGAGGACAGUUAAUCUUUAAAUUAAAAAAAAUAAAAAUCUCUGUCCUCUGCCAGAUGCUUUUAGUGGUGUGUCAAGAACUUGACAUUUUUGCCUGUUAGUAAGAAUCAGACUGUUUGAGGCUUAAGUGAUUACUCGAAGACAAAAUAUGGUUUAUUCUAUGCCUGAUAGCCAGUUUACAUAGUCAUGUAUACUUCUCCAUCUUAAUGAUAGCUCUAUAAAUGUUAUAAUUUGUAAGAUUAGGAGACAGUCAUUUGUUUUACACUGUAGCAAAGCAUAACAUUUUUCUUCCCCUCUGGAGAGAAUUUUGUGGUGUCUGCAUGAAAUUUUGAAUUUUUAUAUGCUAAUUAGUUGUCGUUGAUCUUAUGACAGGAAUAGUAUCCUAAAACAAGGACCUGAGCUUAACUGUACAAAUAAUGUGCAUCAGCAAGCAUGCAUAAGAUUAUCAAAGAAGCCAUGUGAAAUCCGUAUUUAUUUUUCUACUCUUAAGUCAUAGUUCAGAUCUUUAGUAAUCCACAGAAGCAGGCCAUGACAGAGUGAACCUUUCCCUGUUGGUUGCCUAUUGUUCUAAGUGGGACUUCCAUCACUAUCAGUGCCUCAGCCGUGUGUCAUCUGCUGGAGGUAAUGGCAAAGUGUCAUCAAGAAGAGGUGGUGCUUGAGGUUUCUUUCAGGCUUUUUCACAACAAGCUCAAGUACUGAGCAGAAGAAAAGCACAUGUGAGCAAGGCAGAAGAUCUAUCCCUUCCACCUGCACUGGCCUUCAUGCAGCAGAGGGAACAAGAGGAAGGGUAAAGAAAAAUAAGGAACAGGAACCAGUGUAAACAAAUAAAAAGA